GCCAAUACCAGCCAAGCUUAAUCUGACUACCUGAUAAGACGUGGUGUGUGCACACUGGAGCUGUUGCUCUCAUCUUGGUGUGCCCUACGGACUUCUGCUUUAGCAGCUGGCGGCGGUCAUGACUGAUUACACCAUGUUUGAUUUCCUACUGAUUGACUAUGAAAAUCUUCCCAGUGUCACUCCAUCCACUCAAAACUGACUCUGACUGCAUUGGUGAACUUGGUUCUUCUAAGCACCGGACGGACAUGGAGGGGGGUACACGAUGCUGAGCAAAGACGGACCUGGUCUCUGCCCUCAUAAACUGCCAGUCCAGCGA